UUCAUGCUGAGGGAGCUCCCUCCUGGGGCCGUUGGGAACGACGAGUCUGCGAAGAGGUCUACUCGAGGCUCGAAAGGGCGAAAGAGGGAAAGUCGGGUCACGGAGGUUCCAGAGAUUUCAGGGCACGAGCUGAUCUGCAGCUCUGGCGAAG
rnacentral:ribozyme from 2 species